rnacentral:rRNA from 1 species
UACGUAGGGUGCGAGCGUUUGUCCGGAUUUAUUGGGCGUAAAGAGCUCGUAGGCGGUUUGUCGCGUCGGCCGUGAAAUCUCCACGCUUAACGUGGAGCGUGCGGUCGAUACGGGCAGACUUGAGUUCGGUAGGGGAGACUGGAAUUCCUGGUGUAGCGGUGAAAUGCGCAGAUAUCAGGAGGAACACCGGUGGCGAAGGCGGGGUCUCUGGGCCGAUACUGACGCUGGAGGAGCGAAAAGCGUGGGGAGCGAACAGG